AUUGAACGCUGGCGGCAGGCCUAACACAUGCAAGUCGAGCGGAUGAAGGGAGCUUGCUCCUGGAUUCAGCGGCGGACGGGUGAGUAAUGCCUAGGAAUCUGCCUGGUAGUGGGGGAUAACGUCCGGAAACGGGCGCUAAUACCGCAUACGUCCUGAGGGAGAAAGUGGGGAAUCUUCGGACCUCACGCUAUCAGAUGAGCCUAGGUCGGAUUAGCUAGUUGGUGGGGUAAAGGCCUACCAAGGCGACGAUCCGUAACUGGUCUGAGGGGAUGAUCAGUCACACUGGAACUGAGACACGGUCCAGACUCCUACGGGAGGCAGCAGUGGGGAAUAUUGGACAAUGGGCGAAAGCCUGAUCCAGCCAUGCCGCGUGUGUGAAGAAGGUCUUCGGAUUGUAAAGCACUUUAAGUUGGGAGGAAGGGCAGUAAGUUAAUACCUUGCUGUUUUGACGUUACCAACAGAAUAAGCACCGGCUAACUUCGUG
rnacentral:rRNA from 1 species